UAACAAUACUAGUAGCCGUAACGGGACGAAAGAAGAUGGAUUCUUGAAGAUAGAGAUGAUUAAAAUUUCCGGUUACGCGCAGCCAUUGCUCGUGCCCGAAACCGAGUGCCCGAAGCAGUGCUUGAUGAACUGCUCUUGCAUAGCUUACGCUCAUAAUUCCGAUCUCGGGUGUAUGUUUUGGAAUAGUACCUUGUUCGACAUUCAGAAAUUCCCUAGUGGAUCGGGUUCCGAUCUUUUUUUUCGUGUCGCGAAUUCUGAACUUGGUAAUUUAGAUAGAGAUGCUUAGUGUUUUUUCCCCCCCUUGGUUUUGAGAGAUUGUGCUGGUUUUAUUAAGCUUCCUUUGGUUGUUUUUUUAUUUGUUGAUGCAGAUCAUAAGAAAGACUUGAAGAAAAUCGUAAUAGCUUUGGUUGUAAUCGGCGUAACUCUUUUGUCUAUAUGCAUGUAUUUUUCGUGGAAAAGGGUAGUUAAGAAAAGAGGUAUAUAUAUGGUUACACUUUCAGUUUCUACGAAUAUUAAAUGAGUAUUUACAGCUGUCGGCGCUACUUAAUUCGUAUGUUUUCUUUGUCAAAUUAGGCGAAAAUAGAGCCAUUGUGCUCGGAAGAGCGGAAGCAUCAGAAUCACUCGAUUCGUCUCUUCAAGACACGUUAAGUAGGUUAAAUCUUGAAGAAUUACCAUUGUUUAAAUUUGAUGUACUCGUAGAUGCAACCGACAGAUUCUCCAAUGCUAACAAGCUUGGAAAGGGCGGUUUCGGCAUUGUUUACAAGGUAAAUGUUUUUUUUCUUCCUUCCGUGCUUGUAUUAAUUUUCGAUUGUAACAUUUCGUGCUGAUAUAUACAUUAGGGAGAACUGGCAAACGGAAGAGAAAUCGCGGUAAAAAGGCUUUCUAAGGAAUCGGGACAAGGGAUAGAUGAAUUCAUGAACGAAGUAGUGCUUAUUUCUAAACUCCAACACAGAAAUCUCGUUAGACUAUUGGGUUGCUGUGUGGAGAAUAACGAAAAGAUGCUUAUAUACGAAUACAUGCCUAAUAAAAGCUUGGAUUUCUUUCUCUUCGGUCGGUUUUCAAACAUCUUUAAUUUCUAUCUCUUGUUCGACAAAUUUGAGGAAACUCAUCACUUGUUCUGUUUAUGUAUGCAAUAUUAUUUUUUUAUUUCAGAUAAAUCGCAAGAAAUCCUCGAUUGGAGAAAGCGUUUAAACAUCAUCGAAGGCAUUUGUCGAGGCCUUCUUUACCUUCACAGAGAUUCGAGAUUAAAGAUAAUCCAUCGAGACCUCAAGCCAAGUAACAUAUUGCUGGAUAAUGAUUGGAAUCCGAAGAUUUCCGAUUUCGGGAUGGCGAGAAUUUUCGGAAGCAACCAAGAUCAUAUCAGCACUGUAAGAGUUGUCGGAACAUAGUAAGCGAUCGCACAUAUUAUUAUAUUUGAUCCAUUUUAUAUUAUUUUAUCGGUGUAUAUAAAACUUUAUGAUUUAAUUGGAGCUUGCAGCGGAUAUAUGGCUCCCGAAUAUGCAAUCGAAGGGAAAUUUUCCGAAAAAUCUGAUGUUUUCAGCUUCGGGGUGUUGAUGUUAGAGAUUGUUUGCGGAAGAAGGAACACGAGCUUUUACAAUCACGAAACCUCUGCCAAUCUCUUAGGACAUGUAUGUAUGUCUCUACCUUAAAUUUUAUAUGUGUUGUUGUCGUAUAUUUAUUUAUUUAUUUUCUCCGGAAAAAAAGGUGUGGAAACUGUGGAGUGAAGACGAUGUAGGAGAAUCGAUAGACGUAAGAAUAUCGAGCCGAAGUUAUCGUACAGAAGUGGUGAGAUGCAUACAAAUAGGAUUACUGUGUGUGCAAGAACUGCCUAAAGAUAGGCCUUCGGUUUCGAGUGUGCUCUCAAUGCUUAAGAGCGAAAUAGCAGAGCUUCCGGAACCUAAACAAGUUGCAUUUUUUGCGUUGAAUUCGAACGGUAGUUCGAAUACGAGGGCAACUUCUUCUCAGCAGAGUCAAAGGAGUAGUGGCUCUGUGAAUAAUGUUACUAUCUCCGUCGUUGACGGUAGAUGAAAUAUUCGUAGUUGUCUCGAAGAAGAUUGUGAAUACAGAGAGUGGAAUAUACAUAGGGAUUUCUCAGCUUAUGUAUGUAUUUAUGUAUAGGCUCGUGUACGAGGAGGUUCAAGAUCGCUCAUCUUUAUUAAUUUAGGUUCAGGGUUUUUUUUUCUCUCUCUUUCGCGCGUAUAAGCUCACUCGAUCUACAUGUAUUGGAGUUUAUUGGAUUUAGUAAGCACGUGUUAUAUCGAAUCGCUAAAGAACUCCUCGUGUUAUAAUUAUUAACAAAAAUUUCCUUAUAAUGCAAAUUUUAAGUGAGUUUUUAGGGGUACUUUGCUAAACAAAAAAAUAAUUAUAUGGGGAGUUCUUCCUAAUAAAAUAACACAAAGAGUUUUCUAACAAUUAGAGAAGACACGGAGGUGUCCAAUGCAAUAAACCGAGUGAAUUGCAUUUAGUACUUCUGUGAAAAUCGCAAUUGUGCGAUUCCUCCAUGUCAUAAAUAAAUUAGAAAAUACCCCCUAGUAUACUCGACCAAUUUACCUUUUUCCAUUGACCGGUUGCAAAAGGACAAAAUACCCUGGGGAGGUUUUUGCAAAAAGAAAAACCCCAUCGCUUGUAUAUGUAAAAUACAUAGUAAGGGACCAAAUUGAAUUUUUGAAGUUACAUAAAUUUAAAGAGGUCAAAUUGCAAUUUUCCAAAUAUAAUUUAAAGAAGGGAUUAUUUUAGAGAUCCCUAAUUUCCAAAUUAUAUAUAACCAACUACCAUGCGGAUUCCACUCUAUGGGUAACCCCCUCAUUUCGAAAAUAUUUUGACAUACUUUCUCGGCAUAUAUGAAGUACCUAAAAUGCUCUUAAUAGUCCUUUUCUAAACGUGGACGUUGCCAUGUAUACAUAACACGAGCGUUAUAAUUCCCUGUGAAGACGGAAAAUGUGCGACGUAACAGGAAAAUUCGUUUUGUCAGGAUUUCUUGAGAUAUCGUUUUGUUUGAAACUUUUGGUUUUAGUAUCUGUGGUGAAAUUUGUGGCUCUCUGUAUCAUUCAUAUUUUUCGAAGACGCCGUUAUCAUCACUGUAAGUGUUGCUUAAAUUUCAACACUCUGAAUUAAUUGUCGACGAACAAUUAUAUAAUCUGUAAAUUGUUUAUAAUUUUUGUAGAUCUCGUGUUUUUUGAUUGUUUGUCAUUAAAUGUGUUCAUGAAGUAAUCAUGCGUUGAUGUUUUCACUGACUUUGUGUUUUCCGACGGGUAGUUAUAUGUAGUAGUGUUUAUCGGAUUUCACGUCUGUAGAGUUCAUUUUCAAUUUGUCUCCAUAUGUAAGAUAUAUGUUUAAGAAUAGUUAUAGUUUUGUACGAGUUGUAUAUGUUUUUCGUUUGAGGUGUUGAAGGCGUUCAUGCAUUGUGUACGCGUUUAUGUGGUUACACUCUGAUGAAUUCCAUUGCGUAGUUGUAUGUAGUUAUUUUGACAUGAUUCAUGUGUUGCAGAAUGCAAUCUGAAUAUGUCUUUAUGUGUGACUCUGGUCCUGAAAUUUGAUGGUGUUUUUGGGGUUAAAAAUUGUGUUGGAAAUUUUAAUUUUGAAGAGUUAAUUAGGUUUGUAAGCUCUAAGUUUAAUGGAUUACAUCGUAACAACGAGGUUAUGUCUUACAAUAUACCCGGUGUUGGGGAGGGUAUGUUGGGAGACGAUGAUGAUGUUUUGUUCAUGUUGUCUUCUAUGCGGGAACUAUGAAUUAGUCGGAUUGAUGUAGUUAUAAAACAGAGAGUGGGUGAUCGUCGGAGGUUAGUUGGGUUGAUUCCAGUGUUACCAAAUAAUUAUGUACCGGAAUACGAUCAAGGUGUUUGCAGUGUUAAUCCGGUAGUUUGGUGACAGCUGGUCACCGCAGCUAAUGACUGCUAAUUGGGCAAAUCUUAUAAAAGAUGUUGGGCAAGUGUUUGAAGGUGGUGCGAAGGAUUUUAGGAAGGCGUUAUGUCUGUAUGCUAUUGAGAUGGAAUUUGAAUUCCGGUAUGUGAAGAACGAGCGUGUUAGGGUCACUACAGUUUGUAAAGAUAGGGAUGUGAAGGAUUGUAUGUGGAGGAUACAUGCAUCAAUUGAGCACGCGAAUGAGUUCUUUUAUAUUAAAAGACAUGUCAAGCAUCAUACGUGUGGUUGUGGAUUUGCUACGUCUAGUAAGAAGAGGUUGACGUCUGAUAUAAUUACUGAGUUGAUGAUGAGUGAAGUCAGAGCUAAGCCUGGGUGGGUGGCCAACGAUGUGGUUGUCCAUGCGAAGCUUCAUUUUGGUAUUGAUAUCAGCUACUAUGUUGGUUGGAGAACUAUUCAGACUUCUAAGGAAGACAUUUUCGGUGAUCACACAACCUUGUAUUUGUAUCUGCCAUCCUACUUUGACGAACUUGAAAGGACCAAUCCUGAAAGUGUAUAUCAUCUGAACAUUGAUCAAGCAACGAGUAGGUUUCGGCGAUGUUUUUUGCUGUGGGUGCUUGUUUGAUGGGUUUUAAGUCAUGCCGGUCAGUUCUGACCGUAGACGGUACGUUCUUGAAGGGGAAAUAUAGAGGGAUUUUGCUUGCUGCAGACGGGAAGGAUGGUCAAAAUGGUAAGUGAUCAACACAAUUUCGUUUACUUAACUGUAUAUUACUACUUGUUGGUUCAUGUUUUAAUGUUUAGUUUUAUUUUCAGCAUUAUUCUCUUUAGUUUUUGCUGUUGUCAAUGAGGAGACUGAUUGCAAUUGGGCAUAUUUUUUUUGAACACCUGAAAUCUGCCAUUAGGACAGAACGUAUUGACAUUUGGGUCAAACAGGAACAGCGAAAUAUUGAAAGGAGUGAAGAAUAUAUUUCCAGACUGUUUCCAUUCAUAUUGUGUUUAUCAUAUCCAGAAAAAUUUGAUGAACAAGUUCCGAGGGAAUACUACCACUUUUCGUAAAUAAACUCACACAAACAAACUAUAUUUCAAACAUUGAGAAUAUUUAUUCUGAACUCUGAUUUUUUUUUUUCUUAAAUCAUUUCCCUUUUCUCAUUUUUAUUUUGGAUUGUUUUUACAAAAAACUACCUUUAAAAAUAAAGAGGUACCAUUAUUUUAACCAUUCGAAUUAUAUAAAAAUGAAUAAUAAUAAUAAUAAUAAUAUAAAUUUCAUCUUCAAAUUAUCAGGAUGUUUUAAACAAUACAUAUAAGAAAAAAACAAUAUAUGUAUAAAACAUAUAUGUUUAAAAUAUAUUAUUUGAAUAUAUAAUAAUAUUAACAUUCAAAAUGUGCUUUUUUUGUUGUUCUUGGAUUAUGAGCUAGAGGUCCUUCAAAAACAUUUGGUACCAUUUAAGGACAGACAAUGUUUAUCAUUUUGAUUAAGGUCCUUUAAUUAGAUUUUGAUACCAUUUAAAGUCCCUGUAGUCCUCUAAUAGGGUUAAGUGGACGCUGAAUAGACAAUUUUUUCUUCAUGCAUUGUUUGAUACUGCAGUUUGAACAAUAGAUACCUGAUUUCGUCCGUGGGGCUUCCGUCUUUUCCAAGUCAACUUGGUCCGUACUCCGGUGAAGGUACCUGCAACGCCGGGAGGGGUUCCCGGCGGGAAAGCUCCGACGAUCAAGUCAGCGAUCGGAAUAGAAAAAUGUGUAUGCAAUGUAACAGUAAUUAAUGUGUAUUCUUGUGUGUGUGUAUGUGUGAUGAUCAUUCUAUUUAUAGAUGGAGAAAACUUGGCCUCCAAGGCUUUCCCUCUUUAGGGUUUCUCUUUACCCUCAAGUCACAUAUCUUGGGCCUGUAUUGCCUUGGGCUCGCCCUACCUCGUUUUGGUAUUGGGCUGGCGAGUUAAGGUAUUCCCAUAUAGUUCCCGAGGUUUGCACAAUACAGCGACCUCGCCCAUAACUUCGAGCUAAGUCAUCAUGGGCUCUUUAUCGUGGGCCUAUCAUACUGGGCUUAUCCUAAUGGGCUUACGCUUAUUCGUUAUUUGUCAAACUGGCCCGUAUCAACUACUCCCCCCCUACUCCUUAUUUAUAAAACGGGUUGGCUUUCCCUUACUUCGUUUUAUAAGUAUGGAGUACGAGGUGUUAGUUCGUACUUCGAUUUAAGUUCACGUCGGCAUACGCAACCCCCUUCCCUUUUUCUUCCAUUAAUUGCUCUGACAUCCCGUGUGGUCGAUUCGGGUUCCCUAGGUCAUCAUGAGGAGAUUUCAAUCAACGCUUUUCGCGCCAGGUUCGAGGCGAUCUGCAUUAAAUCUCGUCCGUCCGGAUAAACGGUUAUGAUUGGUUUUCCCUCUUCCCUAGGUCAUUACUGAGGGAUUUCAAUCGACACCUAUUGCGCCGGAUUCGAGGCGAUCUACUUUGAAUCUCGCCCGUUCGAAUAGACGGUCACAAUCGAAUUCUCCUCCUUUCUUUCUCCUAUAAGUAUCUGACUUCUACGAAUUUUCAAAAUUUUUUCCUCUUCUUCACUUCUGUGCUCUCCCCGUCUUUGUUUACUUCCGGCGAUUUUGCUUUUCCGAGAACCAAGUUCUUUCCAUCCCGUGCUCGUUUUCUUCUUCGACAAAGGUACUCCAUUUUUACCCUGCUUUUUACUGUUCUUAGCCUAUGUCUUCCAAUUCCCCCGACCCUUUCGGUCAGAGAAUGCUUUCCAGAGAGGGAGAUGAAUAUCCUACCCUCACUCUCUCUUCUUCUUCGGAGGAAGGGCCCUUCUUUUCCCCUUCGGGUAAAUUACUGAAAAAAUCUAAGAGAAAGGGGAGAGACGACGUUCUGUCCUCCGCGAGGAGUGGCUCUCCUUCAUUGUCUGAGGGGCGCGAUUUAGACGACCAGUGGGGACCCAGUACCUUAAGCGAGGUGGACUUAGACAAUUUAGUUCGCGAUAUAGGCCUUCCUACUGACGUCGAACUAAUAUUACCUUCUCGAGAUCAGCGUCCCUUAAGUCCACCCCCAGGUUUUAGCACCUGGUUCUCGGAACAGUUUUAUUUCGGUCUUUCUUUUCCUAUCUCGUCUUGGUUUUCCGAGAUUGCGCAAUUGUGCAAUGUAUCCCUCAAUCAGUUUCAUCCCCAUGCCAUAGUCGUCAUGACCGGGUUCCGCAUGCUUUGCGCCUGGUCGGGCGUGACCCCUACUCCAGCUCGAUUUCGGAGUGUGAUGGUCUUAAAAAAUUCCAGUCACUUCCACAUCUCUAUCUCGGCUCGCCCGGGUUUCAAAAUAUUAAUGCCGCCCAAUAAAACUGAUGGGUGGCAGGGUCACUACUUUUUUGCGAAAAACCCCACUGAUACCCCUUACCUAUGUCCUUGGUUCGCCACCUUGCCCGACAAGCGGAGGGGAAAACCCCUGGCGAUUGACGAGUGGCUUUUGAAAAUGAUUGUUCAUUUUCAACCAAGUUAUGGUAUGCCUGAGACUCUUACAAGUUUUCCACCGAUACUUCGCCAUUUCUACUUCCAUGACAACGGCACUCAUCCCCUAACUCAAGAGGAUUUAGGUGGGUUUAAACAUGAUAUUAAUUUUCUGUAAUAACUCGUCAUUCAUUUCGGGCUGUUGCUCUUUAUUUGACUGUACUUUAUGCUUGUCGAUAUAUUGCCCACUUGCUCACCACAUUUUCCUUAAUCCCACGAACAGACUUAAGGAUGAAGAGGAUGUUCCGAGGUGACAAGCCGGCGACUCGCCCAUCCGAAUCGGAGCCGGAAUUUCAGGCGUCCGAAUUUCAGCGCCCUGUGGCCGCUGAAUCCGAGAAAAGGUCCUCCGAAGAGGGGGCUCUAAGGCAAAGGCCUUCUAAGAAGAAUGUUGGGGCUUCGCGUCCCCGAGGUGGGCCACGCGUUGAGGAUCCCGAGCUUCCUCGUCGAUCCUCGGCCAUAGUUGCAGUUCCCUCUCCGCCACCCUCCUCGGCCGAAGAACAGGUGGAAAAAGAGCCCACCACGAAGAAGAGAAGGGCUGAUCUAGCCCUUGGGCUGGUCGGGUCGACGCCUGGGCAGACCGGGUCAGCUUCGGGGCAAGUUGGGUCAUCUCUGCCUCCUAACUUUGCACUUCAUCUCUGCCAGAACGCAGAGAACGCCAUUGCUGCUUGCCGAGCUAUGGCGCUUCCCCGAGACGUUGCUCACUUCGGGCAAAUGAGCAAGGGCGAUCGGCUCGAGUUGCUUUUACAUAACAUAACACAGGUUUGUUUUACCUCGCACGCACGAGUUAGCUUUUAAGUUUCUUAGUCACAAUUGGUUUUACUUAAGUCUCCUGUAUGUGUAGCAAUUUGCGAUCGCCUUUUCGGGCCCUUUGGGGUGGGAUGACGUCUCUCGUGAGGCGUAUGAUAACCAAAAGAAGGAGGUCGGUCAGCUCCGCAAAGAGGUCCGAGGUCUGAAGGAGAGUCUGGCGGUGUCCGAGUCGGCGAAUGAGGGGUUGUUCGCCGAGGUGAGGAGGCUACAAGAGAGGGAGAAGAUCUUACAAGCAGAGAAGGACUCUUUAGCAUCCCAUAAUGCGAGCUUAGAGGAAAAAGCUAAAGGGCUUUCUAACGAGCUAUUUGCGGCCGGGGUGCAGGCAUCUUCCAACUUCACCGAGGGAGUGAAGGAAGGCCACAGGCUGUUCCCGGGUUCCUCCGAGGGUCUGCGCUUCAUGGAGGCGUUCGUCCAUCGUUUUUUCGAUCGGCUAUGGCGUUCGACGACGUUUACCCGACAAGCAUCGGGCUUAGCUCGCUUCUUCUUCUCGGAAGCGGUGAAGGCUGUCCGGAAACGGUUAAGUGGUGCUGGUAUUGAGUUCCCCUUGGCUGAAAAUGAGCUUGCCGAGGACUUGCCUGAUGACGUGAUCCCGGGUUUUGAAGGGGACGUGAACGAGGACCCCGACCUGGAGUGGUGGAGGCAGGUGCAUCGAGAGUUAGUUGAAGACUUCUCUCGCCAAGGAAGCUCCUCGGUGAUCAUUACCGACCUUGUUGGAGAUGUCGAGACCAUUGACGCGAUGGCGAAUCUGAACAAGACACCGCCCGACCUUACCUCAUCUCCCUCUCCGACCGCCGGGGAUCAAAGCGGAACCGGGAUGGUGCCGUCCGAGAAAGCUUAGCCAGUUUUUCUUUUGUUUUUGCCCGUUUUUGUAUCUUAUUCCUUGUACAAUGUACUCGUAUUUUUCCUUUGCAUGUUCCGAACAACUUAUUUCGUUUUUUGCGUUUCAAUAUAUCAACAAGUUUAUUUGUUUUAAUUUUGUUUUUCAUGUGUGCCGGGGCUGCUUUUACUUUAGUGCAGUAUAUUCAGGAAUGGUUAGUGAAUUUUAGCAAAGUACUAUCUGAACUUGAGUUGAAUCUUUUAGGACCCGUGUGGGUGGUCGUCCUUUGAUCUCAUUGAUUUAGGACUUAACCUGAUCUCGGCAAGCUUUUUAAUAAUUUACUUGUGUUUGAACUUAGCCUUUGGCUAUUGCUUCCUUUGGCAAAACAUGCGAUUUAACGUUUCAGCAAAACAUGUGUUUUAAUGCCUUGAUAAAACGCGCAAUUUAACGCCUCGAUAAAACACGCGACUUAACGCUUCGAUGAAACAUGCGAUGUAACGCCUUGAUAAAACGCGCGAUUUAACGCCUUGAUAGAAUACGCGAUUUAAUGCCUCGGUAAAACACGCGAUUUAACGCCUCGGUGAAACACGCGAUUUAACGCCUCGGUAAAACACGCGAUUUAACGCCUCGGUAAAACACGCGAUUUAACGCCUCGGUAAAACACGCGAUUUAACGCCUCGGUGAAACACGCGAUUUAACGCCUCGGUGAAACACGCGAUUUAACGCCUCGGUAAAACUCGCGAUUUAACGCCUCGGUUUGUAAUUUAAAUAGAUAACACAAGGAUAUUUUUAACGUGGAAACCCUCCAAAUAAGGAGAGAAAAAACCACGGGGCCUAGCCCAGCUCGAAAAAUGGACGUUUAUUGAUGUUCUUCUUUUACAAGAUGUGCUGCUUCUCUGCUUCUCUCUCUUUUUUCUUUUUGUUUUUUUUUUUUUUUUUUUUUUUUUUUUUUUUUUUUUUUUUUUACGCGAAGAAGCGUUUCAAAUGGAUGACAUUCCAUGCCCGUGGCAAUGGUUUUCCUUCUACAUCUCCCAGCUCGUAUCCCCCACCAGCCAAACACUUUGUGACCACGUAUGGUCCUUCCCAAUUAGCUUCCAGUUUUCCUGUGUGUUUUAGGGCAUCAGCUCGUCGUAGAACGAGAUCACCGAUCUGGAAUGAGCGAGAUCGAACCCCUUGGUCAUAUCGGGCCUUGAUCAAAUUCUUGCUUCGUUCCAUGUGUAAAUAGGCUGCUUCUCGCAAGUCAAAAAUCUCGUCCAGCCGGGUUCUCAAUGCACCGUCGUUUGCUUCUUCAUCGAACGUGGCUAUGCGGAGUGUAUCCAUUGCCACUUCUACUGGAAUUACUGCUUCGGUUCCGUAGGUUAACCGAAAUGGUGUUUCACCGGUAGCUGCUUUGGCCGAGGUUCGGUAAGACCAAAGGACCGAAGGUAACUCAUCUACCCAGCUGCCUCCUAGUUCGUCUAUCCUCUUCUUCAAGCCAUUGACAAUGGUUCGGUUUGUAGAUUCGACCUGACCAUUGGCUUGAGGGUGUGCUACUGCCACAAACUUCUGUGUGAUCUUCAUUUUCUCGCACCACGCGCGAAUCUUUUUGCCAUUGAAUUGAGUGCCAUUAUCCGAGACGAGGCUUUGGGGUAGACCAAACCGGCAACAAAUAUAUUUCCAAAUGAAAUGCAUGACCUCGUCCUCUGUUAUUUUUGACAAGGCCUCAGCUUCAACCCACUUGGUGAAAUAAUCCACCGCGACGAUAAGGAAUUUCUUCCUGCCAGUGGUUUGAGGAAAAGGUCCCACUAGAUCAAUUCCCCAUUGGGCAAAGGGGCAGGGGGCGCUCAUGAUGGUCAUUUCUUCUCCCGGUUUAUGGAUAAGUGGGGCAAAUUUCUGACAUUGUAUGCAACGUUGUACGUAUUGAUGGGUGUCCCUCUUCAUGCCGGGCCAAUAGUAUCCGGCCCGAUGUAAUUUCUGUAUGAGGGACCGAGCUCCUCCAUGUUCUCCACAACCUCCUCGGUGUACUUCGUCCAGGACAUGUUUCUCCUCUUGUUUUCCUAAGCAUCUUGCAUCCACCGUGGUGAAGUUUCUCUUGUAUAAUAUCUCAUGUCGUACGUAGAAGUGUCUGGCUUUGUAUGCUAAGCGAUGUUGCUCCCUAAUUGUACCGGUUCGUUCCCCUCUGAAAUAUGCGAACAAAGGUGUUCGCCAAUCGGAUUCCUCAUCGAUCAUCAUGAUCCCGGGUGUCGGCGUAGGAGCAAUGAGAAUGGAGAUCUUCCUUUCGACGCAAUCGACGACCGACGACCCAAUUUUGGCAAGGAAGUCAGCUCGCUGGUUGUCAUUUCUCGGAAUCUGAUGUACGGUGCAAGCUUCGAAAGUUUCUUGUAUUGCUCGGGCUUUGUUUACAUAUCCUUUCAUUCUAUCGUUCUUCACUUCGUAAUCCCCUUCUAACUGGUGUAUAACCAAUUGAGAGUCGGAGUUUAUUCGUACCACCCGUGCACCGAGUUCUUGUGCGAUUUCCAUACCCCGGAUGAAGGCUUCGUAUUCCGCUUCGUUAUUGGAGACUCGUGGUAAUUUAACAGCAAAUUCCACCUCGAUCCCCGUGGGGUCAAUGAUUAUGAUUCUUGCCCCUGCUCCUGUCGCUGUGGAUGACCCAUCCACGUAGACUCUCCAUUCUUUCUCCAUAGGUACCCUAGUGGUUUCCCGGAUGAAAUCCGCCAACGCUUGUCCUUUGACCGAGGUACGAGGUUGAUAUUGGAUUUCAUAUUGUCCUAACUCAACUGCCCAUUUAACAAUUCGUCCCGAUGCCGUAGGCUGGCCUAGGGUUUGUCGGAGUGGUAAGCUCGUACGGAUUACCAUUGUGUGAGAUAAGAAGUAAGGCCGGAUUCGCCGCGUAGUGAGGACCAGCGCGUAUGCUAUUUUCUCAACUUCUGAGUACUUAAUCUCCGAGUUAGUGAGGAUCUUGCUGAUGUAAUAGAUCGGUCGUUGUUGACCACUUACCUCUUUGAACAAGACCGAACUAAUCGAUUCGUCUCCCACCGAUAGAUAUACGAAUAAGGUUUCGCCUUUCUCAGGGGUGCUAAGGAUGGGCAGGCGAGUUAACGAAACUUUUAGUGCCUCGAACGCGAGUUGGCAUUCUUCGGUCCAUUCGAACUGUGCCGCUUUUCUCAAGACUUUGAAGAAAGGCAGACUUUUAUCAGCCAUUCGCGAUAUGAAUCGAGCCAAAGCCACCACUUUACCGGCUAAGGACUGAACUUCUUUUAUAGACCGAGGAUGGGUCAUUCGGAGUACCGCCUCGACUUUAUCUUGGUUCACCUUGAUACCUUCUCGAUUAACUACAUACCCGAGAAAUUUUCCAGCCUUUACUGCGAAUGCACACUUUGCUGGGUUCAACUUCAUCCCAUAAAGGCGAAGGGUGGCAAAUGUCUCAGCCAAAUCAGCAAGGUGCGUGGAGCAUUUUUUGCUUUUGACCAGCAUGUCAUCGACGUAAACUUCGAUAUUGCGCCCGAGCUGAGCCCGAAACAUCCUAUCCAUUAGUCUCUGAUACGUAGCUCCCGCAUUUUUCAAGCCAAAAGGCAUCACGACAUAACAAUAAGUGCCCGUGGCUGUGAUAAAGCUCACUGCAGGUUGGUCCCUUUCCUCCAACGAGAUCUGGUGGUAUCCUUGCGAAGCGUCCAUCAUGCUGAGUAGCUCACAUCCGGCGGUAGCGUCUACGAGCUGGUCUAUGCGAGGUAAGGGAUAGUCAUCUUUCGGGCAGGCCUUGUUUAAGUCCCGAAAAUCGAUGCACAUCCGCCACUGUCCAUUACUCUUUUGCACCAACACCGCAUUGGACAACCAUGUGGGGAAUUGGAUUUCCCUAAUAUGCCCAAUAUCGAGGAGUCGUUGGACUUCUCGCUUGAUAAUUUCGUCCUUUUCGAUGCCGAAGUGUCGUCGCUUUUGUUUGAUAGGUUUGCACUCGGGUCGCAGAUUGAGCCUGUGUACAGCGGUACGAGGUGCGAUGCCAGUCAAAUCGCUGGGUUGCCAUGCAAAGACGUCUACAUUAGAUCGCAAUAAUGCUAUCAGCUCAUCUCGAAAGGGUGGUUCUAGGUCUUUGCUUAUCUGGGUUUUCUCAUUUUUAUUUUGGAUUGUUUUUACAAAAAACUACCUUUAAAAAUAAAGAGGUACCAUUAUUUUAACCAUUCGAAUUAUAUAAAAAUGAAUAAUAAUAAUAAUAAUAAUAUAAAUUUCAUCUUCAAAUUAUCAGGAUGUUUUAAACAAUAUAUAUAAGAAAAAAACAAUAUAUGUAUAAAACAUAUAUGUUUAAAAUAUAUUAUUUGAAUAUAUAAUAAUAUUAACAUUCAAAAUGUGCUUUUUUUGUUGUUCUUGGAUUAUGAGCUAGAGGUCCUUCAAAAACAUUUGGUACCAUUUAAGGACAGACAAUGUUUAUCAUUUUGAUUAAGGUCCUUUAAUUAGAUUUUGAUACCAUUUAAAGUCCCUGUAGUCCUCUAAUAGGGUUAAGUGGACGCUGAAUAGACAAUUUUUUCUUCAUGCAUUGUUUGAUACUGCAGUUUGAACAAUAGAUACCAAAAGUCUAGAACUUAAAAAUUACAUGAAUAUACGUACUCUAUAGCAUAUAGAGCUUACUUAGAGGGCUUAAACCGAAUCUGAAUAUAUGCAUUCCACAGAGAAGUAUACACACAUAAAAAUUAUAUAGUGGAAAUUAGUUAUGGAGUUUAGAAAGAAAUUAUACACAUAUGAGUAAUAUACAGUAGAAAGUAUAAAGAAUACUUAGUUGCAAGAGUUUAGUCAUGUUUAAUGAUCAUCUUCUAUGGAAUAUUAAUUAUUGACAAUCAUCGCUCCACGUUCUACAGCUAAACAAAGUGAAUAACCAAACACUGCAAUUCAUGAACCUCCAAAUGGGCAUUUACAAACACAAGUCCGAUUUUCCAUAACUGUUUUUUGUGUGAUUGAGUAUGUGUGUGUGUGUGUGUGAGAGAGAGAGAGAGAGAGAGAGAGAGAGAGAGAGAGAGAGAGAGAGAGAGAGAGAGAGAGAGAGAGAGAGAGAGAGAGAGAGAGAGAGUUUGUAUGUGUGCGUGUCAAUUCUUAUCCGACGACGACGGCAACACGGUGGUGGGGUGAAUAUGGUGGUUUGAGGGUGGGGUGGGAGGUAACGAAAAUGGUGGUGCAUUUGAAAUGGAUAAGCGAAUAAGUGAAUGGAGUAUGGGAGAAAGCGACGUGGGUAAUUUCGUCUUAGAGGGAUAGAAGAUCCGACGGUCCUAAUUUAUUAAGAAUAUUAUUAGUGAUGAACAGUAUUUAGUAAAUUACUCGGUAAUUAAUGCAUGCUCUCAGUAUUUAGUAAACAACUUCGGUUUGGGCCGAGCCAUGGCUCACUGACAGCGGGGGCAGGCAUAUUUUUACACGUCGACCAAGUCAUACAUCGUUCCCGAAUAAAGUCUCAGACCUCAUCGACCACUCUGUGCAUUCUUGGGAUAACAACAUUGUCGAGAAUUAUUUUUGGCCCGUUGAUUGGGAACGGAUAAGGGCGGUGCCGAUUGGUAACACCAACGUGGAGGAUAAAUGGAUUUGGCAUUUCACAAAUCACGGCAAAUUCACGGUCCGUUCUUGCUAUCACCAUGUUAUUUCACGGCAAUCUGAAAACACGAGGGAUGGUACAUCGAGUAGUGGGGAAGUUAAAUCAAACUGGAAGUGGAUUUGGAAGUUAUCUCUCCCACCAAAGGUUAAAUUGUUUGUUUGGCGAUGGAUUUCGAACAUUUUACCUACGUCGUCUCUACUUCUCCGACGGAGAAUUGCGGCAGACCCAUGGUGCCGGAGAUGUGGAAGGACAGAAGAAACACCAAUGCAUGUGAUUAUGGAAUGUGGAGGGGUUGAUAAUAUAUGGCGGGAUUUCAAGAUAAUAAUAAAUCACCAGGUUCUAGGAUUGUCUGCUUGGCAAUGGGUCGAGAAACUUCAAAAACACCUCGACAAGGAUUCCUUGAACCUGGCCUUGGUUAUUACAUGGAAGAUUUGGGAGAAGAGGAACAAGGAAAUUCAUGGAGAAGAAGGCAUCCCCACGACCGAUAUUCGAGAUUGGUGCAGAAUUUAUCUUGAUAAUUUUACGGCGAGCCAAACUCCGCCGGUUCUUUCCCACAAUCGCCAUCAUCCGACGAUGUGGAAACCGCCGGAUCAAGGUUCGGUGAAAAUUAAUGUGGAUGUGGCUUUUCCAUUCGAUAAGGACUACCAUGUAACGGCCCUUGUUGCCCGCAAUGCUGACGGAGCUUGUAUUUGGUGGAGCACUAGAAAGAUUAUUGGCCGCCCGACGGUGGUAGAUGGUGAAGCCCAUGCAAUGCUUAGUGCCAUUAUCACAGCAAAGGAGAAAGGCUGGGAGGACAUUGUGAUUGAAGGGGAUAACUUACAAGUGAUUACGGCUUUUCAAACUCGGAACUCGGACACUCUUCCGUACGGGGUUUUUAUAGAGGAAGGCUUGGUUUUGUCUCUUUUUUUCAAUAAUUGUCGUUUUGAAUUUGUUAAACGCUCAGCCAAUAUGUUGGCCCACGCUAUUGCCACUAGAUACGAUCACUCAUGUAAGGAAGGAACAAUUCUUCCGGUUUCUUUGGCCAAUGUUGCUUAAUGAUAUCCUAUAUUUUCCAUCAAAAAAAAUUAUCAGGGAUAGUUACAAUUUUGAUCUCUAUAUUAUACACCUUUUCUUGAUUUUGGUUCUUAAAUUUUUUUUUGGCACGAAAUUGGUCCUGAAAUAACCAGUUCUUUUUACAAUUUUCGUCCACUGUUUGAAAUUGUUGUUAGUUUGGAUGGAAAAAUAACUUGCGUGGUAACCCCUUCUUUUUUACUUAUGUUGUUAAUUUAACCCCAAUAUCACUUUAUUCUUAUAAUUUCGUCCAAAUAAAAUUAAAUUCGAGAAUUGUACUAAAAUUGUGAAAUGACAAAAUUCCAUACGAGAAUUUCUAGGAAUUAGUACAUUAUUUUUUAUUCACAAAUAUUAUUUAUUUCUUUAUUUUUAAAUAUUUUUAAUCAAAAAACACUAUCACUAAUUUGAUCAUGUCAAAUUUUAAUUUUGUAAAAUAAUUUAUUUCAUUAUUUGUAAUUAUUAAUAUGUAAAAAAUAAUUAAACAUAUGUUGUAAUUUCAGAUCACGUUUUUAGUCUUGUAUACAAUAAUGUGCAUGAUCACGUGCCUCACACGUGACUUUACAUUCCAAACUAACAUCAAUUUCAAACAAUUGGCGGAAAUUAUAAAAAAAAAACUGGUUAAUUGCAGAAAAAGUUUUUUUUUUUUUUUAUCAUAAUUGAAGAAAAAAUUCAAGGACCAAAAUAAAAAAAUAAAAUAAUAUAGGGAUCAAAUCUACAAUUAUCCCCUAAUUUCUACGCCUAAAUCUAAAUAUCCACGCCCACUGAUGGUUUCCAUCAUGCAAUUCCAGACUCUAAUUAUCACAAAAGAAUUUCCCUAUCAACUUUUUCAAUUUUUUCUUUCCACCAUUUUUACCAUCCAUCAAUUCCACUUAGAAUAGUCACAAAAAUAAACAAACCUUCAAAUUCUCAUUGCAAUUCAUUCAAAACACACUAUGAAUUUAAUUUUAAUUUAUUUUUUUCCUGUGUUCAAGUGAGAGAUUAGGCAGAUUAAAUAGUUAGAUAUUAUAAUGAUCAUCCAAGAAGAUUAUCCAGAGCUUGUUUUCAUAUUCCUCACACUCUUUUCUUUCUGUGCAAGAUUCUGUACACCACAAACCAACAACAACGCAGCAGCAAGAAACACAUGCGAGAACUCCGCCAGAUGCGGAGCUUUCGGCAUCUGCAACUCACAAGGCUCCCCAAUUUGCACUUGCUUACGUGGAUUCCAACCUCUGAACAAGCAAGAAUGGGAUUCCGGGAACUGGACCGCAGGGUGUUCGAGAAAAGUCCCCUUAGAGUGCAGUAUCGAAAACAAUAAUAAUAACAAUACUAGUAGCCGUAACGGGACGAAAGAAGAUGGAUUCUUGAAGAUAGAGAUGAUUAAAGUUCCCGGUUACGCGCAGCGAUUGCUCGUGCCCGAAACCGAGUGCCCGAAGCAGUGCUUGAUGAACUGCUCUUGCAUAGCUUACGCUCAUGAUUCUGAUCUCGGGUGUUUGUUUUGGAAUAGUACCUUGUUCGACAUUCAGAAAUUCCCUAGUGGAUCGGGUUCCGAUCUUUUUUUCCGUGUCGCGAAUUCUGAACUUGGUAAUUUAGAUAGAGAUGCUUAG
rnacentral:lncRNA from 1 species